rnacentral:rRNA from 1 species
GAGGAGUUUGAAUCCAUGCUCAGAUUGAACGCUGGCGGCAGGCCUAACACAUGCAAGUCGAGCGGUAGCACAGAGAGCUUGCUCUCGGGUGACGAGCGGCGGACGGGUGAGUAAUGUCUGGGAAACUGCCUGAUGGAGGGGGAUAACUACUGGAAACGGUAGCUAAUACCGCAUAACGUCGCAAGACCAAAGUGGGGGACCUUCGGGCCUCAUGCCAUCAGAUGUGCCCAGAUGGGAUUAGCUAGUAGGUGGGGUAACGGCUCACCUAGGCGACGAUCCCUAGCUGGUCUGAGAGGAUGACCAGCCACACUGGAACUGAGACACGGUCCAGACUCCUACGGGAGGCAGCAGUGGGGAAUAUUGCACAAUGGGCGCAAGCCUGAUGCAGCCAUGCCGCGUGUGUGAAGAAGGCCUUCGGGUUGUAAAGCACUUUCAGCGGGGAGGAAGGCGGUAAGGUUAAUAACCUCGUCGAUUGACGUUACCCGCAGAAGAAGCACCGGCUAU